UACGUUGGGAGCAAGCGUUGUUCGGAAUUACUGGGCGUAAAGCGUGCGUAGACGGCUAUCUAAGUCGGGUGUGAAAUCCCGGGGCUCAACCCCGGAACUGCCUUUGAUACUGGUAGUCUCGAGUCCGGAAGAGGUGAGUGGAAUUCCGAGUGUAGAGGUGAAAUUCGUAGAUAUUCGGAGGAACACCAACGGCGAAGGCAGCUCGCUGGGACGGUACUGACGCUGAGGCGCGAAAGCGUGGGGAGCGAACAGG
rnacentral:rRNA from 1 species